rnacentral:rRNA from 1 species
GCCCUUAGAAGUUUGAUCCUGGCUCAGGAUGAACGCUAGCGGCAGGCUUAACACAUGCAAGUCGAGGGGUAACAGGGAUUAGUUUACUAGUUUGCUGACGACCGGCGCACGGGUGNGUAACGCGUAUACAAUUUACCUUUUACAGGGGNAUAGCCCAGNGAAAUUUGGAUUAAUGCCCCAUGGUAUUAUCGGNUCGCAUGGUUUGAUAAUUAAAGUUUCGGCGGUAAAAGAUGAGUAUGCGUCCUAUUAGCUAGAUGGUGAGGUAACGGCUCACCAUGGCUACGAUAGGUAGGGGUCCUGAGAGGGAGAUCCCCCACACUGGUACUGAGACACGGACCAGACUCCUACGGGAGGCAGCAGUGAGGAAUAUUGGGCAAUGGAGGCAACUCUGACCCAGCCAUGCCGCGUGCAGGAAGACGGCCCUAUGGGUUGUAAACUGCUUUUAUACAGGAAGAAACCCAUCCACGUGUGGAUGGCUGACGGUACUGUACGAAUAAGGACCGGCUAACUCCGUGCCAGCAGCCGCGGUAAUAAGGGCG